GACAGAGGGUGCAAACGUUGUUCGGAAUUACUGGGCGUAAAGCGCGUGUAGGCGGCUAAGUAAGUCGGGCGUGAAAUCCCACGGCUCAACCGUGGAAGUGCACUCGAAACUGCAUAGCUAGAGUCCUGGAGAGGAAGGUGGAAUGCUUGGUGUAGAGGUGAAAUUCGUAGAUAUCAAGCGGAACACCGGUGGCGAAGGCGGCCUUCUGGACAGUGACUGACGCUGAGACGGCGAAAAGCG
rnacentral:rRNA from 1 species